CCAUUUCUAAUGUAAAGCCUUAACAAAUCUUCCUGCCAGAUCCCACACCACCACUCUCACAGGAGUUGAUUUCAGUAUCAUCCACUAAGGCAAGUCUAGGGUUCUGGAGAGCAGAAUGUCUGAUGCUUGAGAAUAGUGAAGAGAACACCAGAAAUUGAAGAGUUUCCACUUUUGAAGCCCACAAUGCUCAAUGACUGCUGAUCAGACUGCAGGCAAAGUUUACUGCCCAGCAAAACUGGAUUUCACUAGAAAUGCAGAGAGAUGCAUUGCAGGCACUACUUGAAAGAAUUUCUGAACACUUACCAUUGGAGUUUCACUUCAAUUUCAAUCUUUUAAAAACACAAUUUAAUGAGUUUUCCCAGCACCAUGAUUAAUGUAUUUUUAAAAUGGAACCCAGCUGUCUUUUAAGGUCUUAGUGAUACAAUAAAACCUCUCUAGCCUGC